rnacentral:SRP_RNA from 1 species
GCCGGGUGUUAUGGCAGGCACCUGUGGUCCCAGCUACUUGGGAGGCUGAGGCAGGAGACUUGCUUGAGCUCAGGAGUGGGAGGUUGCUGUGGCUGUGAGCUCAGAUGCCACGGCACUCUACCCAGGGCGACAGCUUGAGGCUCUGUCUCAAAAAAAAAAAAAAAAAGGAAGUUUUAAGUAAGGGAAUAACAUAAUUUUUUUUCUUUUCUUUUUUUUUUAAGACAGGAGCCUCAAGCUGUCCCCCUGGGUAGAGUGCCGUGGCAUCUGAGCUCACAGCAACCUCCCACUCCUGAGCUCAAGCAAGUCUCCUGCCUCAG